rnacentral:rRNA from 1 species
CAGCCGCCACGGUAAUACGAAGGGGGCUAGCGUUGCUCGGAAUUACUGGGCGUAAAGGGCGCGUAGGCGGACAGUUUAGUCGGGGGUGAAAGCCCGGGGCUCAACCUCGGAAUUGCCUUCGAUACUGGCUGUCUUGAGUGUGAGAGAGGUGUGUGGAACUCCGAGUGUAGAGGUGAAAUUCGUAGAUAUUCGGAAGAACACCAGUGGCGAAGGCGACACACUGGCUCACUACUGACGCUGAGGCGCGAAAGCGUGGGGAGCAAACAGGAUUAGAUACCCGCGUAGUCCCUGUCUCUUAUAC